GAUGAACGCUAGCUACAGGCUUAACACAUGCAAGUCGCGGGACCGGCGCACGGGUGAGUCACGCGUAUCCAACCUGCCCUUCACCACGGGAUAACCCGGCGAAAGUCGGACUCAUACCGUCUGGGGCAGGGUGGGGAUGCGUCCGAUUGGCUUGAGGGCGGGGUAACGGCCCAGCGUGGCUACGAUCGGUAGGGGUUCGGAGAGGAAGGUCCCCCACACUGGAACUGAGACACGGUCCAGACUCCUACGGGAGGCAGCAGUGAGGAAUAUUGGUCAAUGGGCGUAAGCCUGAACCAGCCAAGUAGCGUGCAGGACGACGGCCUAUGGGUUGUAAACUGCUUUUAUGCGGGGAUAGGUACCGCAUGAAUAAGGACCGGCUAAUUCCGUGCCAGCAGCCGCGGUAAUAC
rnacentral:rRNA from 1 species